GGCCGACAAAUGUGUCCUUCAUUUCCCCGAAUUUGAAGGAUGGGUCGGGUGUGUCCUUCGUGGCCCACCAUAUCCCAGAAUUCAUAGCGCGGCCCAGCCAAAUUUCAGCUGCCAACAAUGGCGGCCGCUACUAAGUUUUAAAAUUAGUCUUAUAAUAAACUUUUAACAUGUUUUCAGGCGAGAAAGUAGCUGUGUAAAUUACAAAUAUCUGCUUGGUUUAUCAAGACAUCGCAUAUUUGCAAAAUAUGGAGACGUCUGUUACCCACCCGCUUGAUAGCAAGCCGGGGGGUUCAAUGGUCACUCCAGCCGGCGAGAGCAGCGGACUCCCGGCUUCAUCAUUUUCAGACCCCCGCUCUUUCACUACUCAGGAACUUGACUGACAUCUGUGCUUUGCCUGUGUGCAGAAGAACAAGGACCAGAUCUCCAGUCUUCUCUCUCACAUCCCAACCCCCCAUCCCCUCUAUCCUCUGUACUGCUCCACCUGUUGUCUCUGCCUUCCUUCCAUCUGUAUUUCACCCUG
ensembl:lncRNA